CCUGUGUUUCAAGUAAUUACUUUUUAAUAUUCAGAGGAGAAAAGAGUCUUUUAGGGAAUAGCCAAGACAGUUAAGUUUUAUAAGUUUCUCACGUCCAAAUCCUCCCCCAGUCUAAAUACAGAAAUAAGAAAAUUUAACGUUGGCUAAUUAAAGUGAAUGAAUGUACUUGACCUAGCUUCUCUGGUAUUUGUGUUUUCUGAACCAUUUGCACUCACUCUUGGCUGCUUCCUUGGCGGGCCAUCAGCUUCCCUCAGCUCCAGUGUUUAGGUUGAGAUGACUCUUUGCUCCUUUUCACACUCUUGAGUUGCUGCUAAGGCAGUGCAGAGUUGGAAACCUGAAUCACUGAUCAUAACAUAGCCUCUUGGAACUGGUAAGGCAUUUGAGUGAUCAUAAUCUCCGUUUCAGGGCAUUUAGGGUCAAGCUAGGCCUGGGACUG
rnacentral:lncRNA from 1 species